rnacentral:rRNA from 1 species
UUGUAGUGAACCUGCGGAAGGAUCAUUACCU